UAUUGCUUNNGAANGAGGAAUCCCUAGUAAGCGUGAGUCAUCAGCUCACGUUGAUUACGUCCCUGCCCUUUGUACACACCGCCCGUCGCUACUACCGAUUGAAUGGCUUAGUGAGACCUUUGGAUUGGGGUUUAGGGAUCGGAAACGAACCUUAUUCUCCGAGAAGUCGGUCAAACUUGGUCAUUUAGAGGAAAGUAAAAGUCGUAACAAGGUUUCCGUAGGUGAACCUGCGGAAGGAUCAUU
rnacentral:rRNA from 1 species